AAGUCGUAACAAGGUUUCCGUAGGUGAACCUGCGGAAGGAUCAUUAUCCUUUAGCGUAGUAUUCUAACAAGUACUACAAGCGCAUGCACGCUCGUGUUGCGUAAAAAAAGCACAACAAAACAUGCCUAGUCACGUUUUGUUUCCAAACCCAUGCUCGCUUGAGCAUGGUCGGGUACCUAAGUAAGCGUUUCACGCGUACUGAAGCGGUAGAUGCGUGUCUACCGUGUGGUGUAAAGAUUAUUCAGGCCUUGAAUAACGCCCGCCUAGCAAACUUUUGUAGACAAAUAUUAAUCGCACUAUUAUGUUGUAUGUGUAAAGCACUAUCUUAUUACUUAUAGGAUAAUAACACAAAUACAACCCUAUGCGGUGGAUCAUUUGGCUC
rnacentral:misc_RNA from 1 species